rnacentral:tRNA from 1 species
AAAUAAGAAGCAAUUUUGCAUUUAAUUUCGACUUAAAAGAAGGACUUAAAUAAUGUCCCUUAUUUA